rnacentral:rRNA from 1 species
UACGUAGGGGCCUAGCGUUGUCCGGAUUUACUGGGCGUAAAGAGCGCGCAGGCGGUCGAUCAAGUCGCGUGUGAAAGCCCCCGGCUCAACUGGGGAGGGUCACGCGAUACUGAUCGACUCGAAGGCAGGAGAGGGUAGUGGAAUUCCCGGUGUAGUGGUGAAAUGCGUAGAUAUCGGGAGGAACACCAGUGGCGAAGGCGACUACCUGGCCUGUUCUUGACGCUGAGGCGCGAAAGCUAGGGGAGCAAACGGG